rnacentral:piRNA from 1 species
UAAUGAGAUUUGAAGGGCGUGGAGU